rnacentral:rRNA from 1 species
UGGGGAAUCUUCCGCAAUGGACGAAAGUCUGACGGAGCAACGCCGCGUGAGUGAUGACGGCCUUCGGGUUGUAAAGCUCUGUUAAUCGGGACGAAAGGCCUUCUUGCGAAUAGUUAGAAGGAUUGACGGUACCGGAAUAGAAAGCCACGGCUAACUACGUGCCAGCAGCCGCGGUAAUACGUAGGUGGCAAGCGUUGUCCGGAAUUAUUGGGCGUAAAGCGCGCGCAGGCGGAUUGGUCAGUCUGUCUUAAAAGUUCGGGGCUUAACCCCGUGAUGGGAUGGAAACUGCCAAUCUAGAGUAUCGGAGAGGAAAGUGGAAUUCCUAGUGUAGCGGUGAAAUGCGUGGAUAUUAGGAAGAACACCAGUGGCGAAGGCGACUUUCUGGACGAAAACUGACGCUGAGGCGCGAAAGCCAGGGGAGCGAACGGGAUUAGAUACCCCGGUAGUCCUGGCCGUAAACGAUGGGUACUAGGUGUAGGAGGUAUCGACCCCUUCUGUGCCGGAGUUAACGCAAUAAGUACCCCGCCUGGGGAGUACGACCGCAAGGUUG